rnacentral:tRNA from 1 species
GUCUCGGUGGUCUAAAGACUUAGGACGCUCGCAUAGAAUGCAAGAGAUUCAGGUUCGACUCCCAGCCGAGGCA